rnacentral:rRNA from 1 species
UACGGGGGGGGGCAAGCGUUGUUCGGAAUUACUGGGCGUAAAGGGCUCGUAGGCGGCCAACUAAGUCAGACGUGAAAUCCCUAGGCUCAACCUAGGAACUGCGUCUGAUACUGGAUGGCUUGAAUCCGGGAGAGGGAUGCAGAAUUCCAGGUGUAGCGGUGAAAUGCGUAGAUAUCUGGAGGAAUACCGGUGGCGAAGGCGGCAUCCUGGACCGGCAUUGACGCUGAGGAGCGAAAGCUAGGGGAGCAACGGG